UUGUCCUUACUUCUUAACUGUAUUCACGAAAAUUGUCAUAUCAGGCACUUUAUUAUUCAGCUCACACGAAUACUGUUUUCACAUUUAAGGCAUAGAAAAAUAAAAAUAAUAACCUACAAUCACAGCCAUAAGAGGGUAUUAAAACCAGAAAGGGUGACGAAAGUAGAUUUAGAUACCAAAACAAUACAAAUUUAAAGUUAAAGAAACUGCAAGUGAUUGAUAUUUAAAAAUGUACUCAUAAUUAAAAAUCAGCAGUACAUCCAGUUACAAUAAACCCAAAGUAAAACACAACAUACUGACGUAUACCCAAAACGCCGCAUUAUCAAUCCACAAAUCAUCAAAUAACAUGACAAUAAACUACGGUUUACAUAAAUAACACGACAAUAUGGUCAUGU
rnacentral:misc_RNA from 1 species